rnacentral:snoRNA from 1 species
AACCCAUGGUGAGGACACCUUCGUAAUAUGUCCUUGUAUCUUUCCCAUGCAUCAUAGAGUGUUUCUAGAUCCAUCUACAUAAAAGAAGAGAUAUCAUUCCUCAACUU